rnacentral:rRNA from 1 species
UACGAAGGGUGCAAGCGUUACUCGGAAUUACUGGGCGUAAAGGGUGCGUAGGUGGUUUGUUAAGUCCGUUGUGAAAUCCCUGGGCUCAACCUGGGAAUGGCAGUGGAUACUGGCAAGCUAGAGUGCGGUAGAGGGUAGUGGAAUUCCCGGUGUAGCAGUGAAAUGCGUAGAGAUCGGGAGGAACACCAGUGGCGAAGGCGGCUACCUGGACCAGCACUGACACUGAGGCACGAAAGCGUGGGGAGCAAACAGG